AGCUCCAAUAGCGUAUAUUAAAGUUGUUGCAGUUAAAAAGCUCGUAGUUGGAUUUCUGGUAGGAGGGAUCGGUCAUUCACUUAGUGUUUGUACUUGUAUCCUCUCCGGCCAUCCUUGGGUGGAUCCUUUCUGGUAUUAGUUUAUCGGAAUGGCAAUACCCAUCAUUUACUGUGAAAAAAUUAGAGUGUUCAAAGCAGGCUUAUGCCAUUGAAUAUAUUAGCAUGGAAUAACAAUAUAGGGUCUUGGUUCUAUUUUGUUGGUUUGCGUACCGAGAUAAUGACUAAAAGGGACAGUUGGGGGUAUUUGUAUUCAGUAUUCAGUGGUGAAAUACUUAGAUCUACGGAAGACAAACUACUGCGAAAGCAUUUACCAGGGAUGUUUUCAUUAAUCAAGAACGAAA
rnacentral:rRNA from 1 species